UGGAAGGUCUGCUCUAAUGGGUGAUCCUGUGCAGGGUAAUUGGGGCCCUGCAGAUCAAACGGGAACCUUCAUUAGCAGAACUCAAGGGGCCACUAAUCCAACAUGUUCACACACACCAGGAGAACAGAACGGAUGGGGUUGAUGAGGGUGUAAGUGUGCAAAGGGGGUGCUCUGCCUGGCGCCCGCCUCGGCGAGCAAAACAUCUCACCCAUAGAUCAAAGACCCUCAACAUCUCUGAGCCGUCCUGGGAGGAGAAAAAAAAAAGGAGAAGAAAAGCAGAGAGAACUAGUACUUCUUGUGACUGGCACAAGGAAGCAGAAACCAAAGUCGCAAUGAAGAGGAGUAAAGUGAUGACAGGAGGUCUGACUCCAAAAGCGGCUCCUAAUUAUCCCUGAAGUUACUGUGUCAGAGUUUCCGGCUCUUGCGCAGACCGAAGUACCCUUGCCUU